UCCUGCUGCCGAAAAUAUUAGUACCACUACCCCACGCUGCACAGUAAUAGUCAGCCUCGUCCUGGGCCUGGGCCCUGCUGAUGGUCAGGGUGGCUGUGUUGCCUGAGCUGGAGCCUGAGAAUCGGUCAGGGAUCCCUGAGGGCCGGUUGCUAUC